UGGGGAAUCUUGGACAAUGGGGGCAACCCUGAUCCAGCGACGCCGCGUGGGUGACGAAGGCCUUCGGGUUGUAAAGCCCUUUUCUCGGUGACGAUGAUGACGGUAGCCGAGGAAUAAGCACCGGCUAACUCCGUGCCAGCAGCCGCGGUAAGACGGAGGGUGCUAGCGUUGUUCGGAAUUACUGGGCGUAAAGGGUGCGUAGGCGGCUGUUCAAGUCGGGUGUGAAAGCCCGGGGCUCAACCUCGGAACGGCAUUCGAUACUGGACGGCUUGAGACCGGAAGAGGAGGGUGGAAUACCCAGUGUAGAGGUGAAAUUCGUAGAUAUUGGGUGGAACACCGGUGGCGAAAGCGGCUCUCUGGUCCGGAUCUGACGCUGAGGCACGAAAGCGUGGGGAGCAAACAGGAUUAGAUACCCCCGUAGUCC
rnacentral:rRNA from 1 species